rnacentral:rRNA from 1 species
AUGUCUGGGAAACUGCCUGAUGGAGGGGGAUAACUACUGGAAACGGUAGCUAAUACCGCAUAACGUCGCAAGACCAAAGAGGGGGACCUUCGGGCCUCUUGCCAUCAGAUGUGCCCAGAUGGGAUUAGCUAGUAGGUGGGGUAACGGCUCACCUAGGCGACGAUCCCUAGCUGGUCUGAGAGGAUGACCAGCCACACUGGAACUGAGACACGGUCCAGACUCCUACGGGAGGCAGCAUG